GAUGAACGCUGGCGGCGUGCCUAAUACAUGCAAGCCGAGCGAACGGACGAGAAGCUUGCUUCUCUGAUGUUAGCGGCGGACGGGUGAGUAACACGUGGAUAACCUACCUAUAAGACUGGGAUAACUUCGGGAAACCGGAGCUAAUACCGGAUAAUAUUUUGAACCGCAUGGUUCAAAAGUGAAAGACGGUCUUGCUGUCACUUAUAGAUGGAUCCGCGCUGCAUUAGCUAGUUGGUAAGGUAACGGCUUACCAAGGCAACGAUGCAUAGCCGACCUGAGAGGGUGAUCGGCCACACUGGAACUGAGACACGGUCCAGACUCCUACGGGAGGCAGCAGUAGGGAAUCUUCCGCAAUGGGCGAAAGCCUGACGGAGCAACGCCGCGUGAGUGAUGAAGGUCUUCGGAUCGUAAAACUCUGUUAUUAGGGAAGAACAUAUGUGUAAGUAACUGUGCACAUCCUGGCGGUACCUAAUCAGAAAGCCACGGCUAACUACGUG
rnacentral:rRNA from 1 species